rnacentral:rRNA from 1 species
CAACCCUGGUGGCGAGUGGCGAACGGGUGAGUAAUACAUCGGAACGUCGCCCAGUCGGUGGGGGAUAACGUAGCGAAAGCUACGCUAAUACCGCAUACGAUCUACGGAUGAAAGCGGGGGAUCGCAAGACCUCGCGCGAUUGGAGCGGCCGAUGGCAGAUUAGGUAGUUGGUGGGGUAAAGGCUCACCAAGCCUUCGAUCUGUAGCUGGUCUGAGAGGACGACCAGCCACACUGGGACUGAGACACGGCCCAGACUCCUACGGGAGGCAGCAGUGGGGAAUUUUGGACAAUGGGCGAAAGCCUGAUCCAGCCAUUCCGCGUGCAGGAUGAAGGCCCUCGGGUUGUAAACUGCUUUUGUACGGAACGAAACGGCCUUUUCUAAUACAGAGGGCUAAUGACGGUACCGUAAGAAUAAGCACCGGCUAACUACGUG